GAUGAACGCUGGCGGCGUGCCUAAUACAUGCAAGUCGAGCGAACGGACGAGAAGCUUGCUUCUCUGGUGUUAGCGGCGGACGGGUGAGUAACACGUGGAUAACCUACCUAUAAGACUGGGAUAACUUCGGGAAACCGGAGCUAAUACCGGAUAAUAUUUUGAACCGCAUGGUUCAAAAGUGAAAGACGGUCUUGCUGUCACUUCUCGAUGGAUCCGCGCGGCAUUAGCUAGUUGGUAAGGUAACGGCUUACCAAGGCAACGAUGCAUAGCCGACCUGAGAGGGUGAUAGGCCACACUGGAGCGGGGACACGGCCCAGGCUCCUGCGGGAGGCAGCAGUAGGGAAUCUUCCGCAAUGGGCGGAAGCCUGACGGAGCAACGCCGCGUGAGUGGUGAAGGUCUUCGGAUCGUAAAACUCUGUUAUUAGGGAAGAACAUAUGUGUAAGUAACUGUGCACAGCGUGACGGUACCUAAUCAGAAAGCAACGGCUAACUACGUG
rnacentral:rRNA from 1 species